rnacentral:rRNA from 1 species
CGGGUGAGUAAUGUAUGGGGAUCUGCCUGAUGGCGGGGGAUAACUACUGGAAACGGUAGCUAAUACCGCAUAAUGUCUGCGGACCAAAGCGGGGGGACCUCCGGGCCUCGCGCCAUCAGAUGAACCCAUAUGGGAUUAGCUAGUAGGUAAGGUAACGGCUUACCUAGGCGACGAUCCCUAGCUGGUCUGAGAGGAUGAUCAGCCACACUGGGACUGAGACACGGCCCAG